AGGACAGAAUUUCUACUGUCUAAGUUGGACAACAACUUCCCUUGAGAGAGAAGAUUUGGGGAGAAGAAGGAAGCUACAGAUUAAAGAACCAGGCAAAACAGAAUUGACACUGGUGGGAAAAUUGUUAGAUCCUGUACAGAAGGUCAAGUGAAAUAACACAGAGUUGGUCAGAGUGCUGAAAGGUCUUCAACUUAAUUCCUCUAAGGUUACCUUGGAUUCUCCUCUCCUUAUUUCCUGCAUAAAUUUGGAAAAACAUGUGCUAGACUAAUUUGUGACAUGAACAGAAGAAAAAUUAUUAUACUAAGGAUCUCCUCUCUGCCACAGAAGCCAAAUGGACUUCAGCUUGUCUUUUUUAUUUCUGGUUCUCUUUUCAUUUCAGUUUAUGUCACUCAAACCAUGUUUGAAUUUAAUGCAGUUUUCUUAGCAACAACAUGGCAGUAGUUCUCCAUUGCCACCUUGUGGGUUAAUUUUCAAUGUCCCAGGUAAUUCUAAAGCCUUGGAUUCCCUUAGGCUUCCCAACCCCAGUAUUUAUUCAGAGUCUAUUUAGUAUAUUUUGAGAUCAACCAAGUUUCCCUAUAUGUCAGCCUUUCAAGAUAGGCUUGACCAGGAAACCAUAUACAGGCUGAUAUUAUUUUUAUUAUAGGAUUAUAGUAAUGGAAUCUUGAAAGUCUGAAUGCGCUUCUCUGCUCUCUCCCCCUAGGCCUCAAUAGGAAGGGUCUUUUCUAAGAUGUUCUUCAGUUCUGCCUCAGAGUCAGGUUUCUUUUAUCCAAUUGUUGUCUUGGUAGCAACUCUUCAUCCUGUCCUCCAAGAUUGUUCUUUCCGCUAAUUAUAUCAGUUGCUACCACGUGCUUUGAAUUUACAUAAAAAGCUAACUGGAACAGGAACGUCCAAAAUUCAUUUAAAAACAUACAAAGGAAGAAGAAAAGAAAGGAAACAGAUACAGUGGAUGGCGGGAUCAAGAGGAUUGCUGGCAUGUCUUGGAAGAGGGUUGACAUCAGCACACCGAGCUGACAAAGGGGUCAAAAAAGCCAAAGUGACAGUCACAAGAAUGUGAUUGUUCUCCACCCACUUUUGGCAUAAUAGAUGGACAAAGUUAUAUUGUGUGUUAUAUAAUGAGAAGUAAGAAGUAAGGACUCACUGGAGAAGAGCCUAAUGCUGGGAAAGACUGACGGCAAAAGAAGAAGAGGACGACAGAGAAUGA